GAUGAACGCUAGCGGCAGGCCUAAUACAUGCAAGUCGAGGGGUAGAAGAGGCUUGCUUCUUUGAGACCGGCGCACGGGUGCGUAACGCGUAUGCAACCUACCUUCAUCUGGGGGAUAGCCCGGAGAAAUCCGGAUUAAUACCGCAUAAAAUCACAGGACGGCAUUAUCCAAUGAUCAAACAUUUAUGGGAUGGAGAUGGGCAUGCGUGUCAUUAGCUAGUUGGCGGGGUAACGGCCCACCAAGGCGACGAUGACUAGGGGAUCUGAGAGGAUGGCCCCCCACACUGGUACUGAGACACGGACCAGAGUCCUACGGGAGGCAGCAGUAAGGAAUAUUGGUCAAUGGAGGCAACUCUGAACCAGCCAUGCCGCGUGCAGGAAGACUGCCCUAUGGGUUGUAAACUGCUUUUAUUCGGGAAUAAACCUUAUUACGUGUAAUAAGCUGAAUGUACCGAAGGAAUAAGGAUCGGCUAACUCCGUGCCAGCCGCCGCCGUAACAC
rnacentral:rRNA from 1 species